rnacentral:tRNA from 1 species
GGGCGUAUAGCUCAGUUGGUAGAGCAGCUGACUCUUAAUCAGCGGGUCCAUGGUUCGAGUCCAUGUACGCCCACCA